GGUGUUCUUUAUCUCUCCUCAUAGUUCAGGUGUUCUUUAUCUCUCAUCAUAGUUCAGGUGUUCUUUAACUCUCCUCAUGGUUCAGGUUUCUUUAUCUCUCAUCAAUCAUAGUUCAGGUUUUCUUUAUCUCUCAUCAAUCAUAGUUCAGGUGUUCUUUAUCUGUCAUCAUAGUUCAGGUGUUCUUUUUCUCUCAUCAUAGUUCAGGUGUUCUUUAACUCUCCUCAUAGUUCAGGUGUUCUUUAACUCUCCUCAUAGUUCAGGUGUUCUUUAACUUUCCUCAUAGUUCAGGUGUUCUUUAUCUAUCCUCAUAGUUCAGGCGUUCUUUAUCUCUCCUCAUAGUUCAUGUGUUCUUUAUCUCUCAUCAUAGUUCAGGUGUUCU
rnacentral:lncRNA from 1 species